GACGAACGCUGGCGGCGUGCUUAACACAUGCAAGUCGUACGGUAAGGCCCUUUCGGGGGUACACGAGUGGCGAACGGGUGAGUAACGCGUGAGUAACCUGCCCACAACUUUGGGAUAACGCUAGGAAACUGGUGCUAAUACUGGAUAUGUGCUCCUGCUGCAUGGGGGGGGUUGGAAAGCUCCGGCGGUUGUGGAUGGACUCGCGGCCUAUCAGCUUGUUGGUGGGGUAGUGGCCUACCAAGGCGGCGACGGGUAGCCGGCCUGAGAGGGUGACCGGCCACAUUGGGACUGAGAUACGGCCCAGACUCCUACGGGAGGCAGCAGUGGGGAAGAUUGCACAAUGGGCGCAAGCCUGAUGCAGCAGCGCCGCGUGCGGGAUGACGGCCUUCGGGUUGUAAACCGCUUUCAGCAGGGACGAAGCUUUUUGUGACGGUACCUGCAGAAGAAGCACCGGCUAACUACGUG
rnacentral:rRNA from 1 species